rnacentral:rRNA from 1 species
GACGAACGCUGGCGGCGUGCCUAAUACAUGCAAGUCGAGCGGACGGAUGGGAGCUUGCUCCCAGACCGUCAGCGGCGGACGGGUGAGUAACACGUGGGCAACCUGCCUGUAAGACUGGGAUAACUCCGGGAAACCGGGGCUAAUACCGGAUAACUCUUUCCCUCACAUGAGGGAAAGCUGAAAGAUGGCAUCUCGCUAUCACCUACAGAUGGGCCCGCGGCGCAUUAGCUAGUUGGUGAGGUAACGGCUCACCAAGGCGACGAUGCGUAGCCGACCUGAGAGGGUGAUCGGCCACACUGGGACUGAGACACGGCCCAGACUCCUACGGGAGGCAGCAGUAGGGAAUCUUCCGCAAUGGACGAAAGUCUGACGGAGCAACGCCGCGUGAGUGAUGAAGGUUUUCGGAUCGUAAAACUCUGUUGUCAGGGAAGAACAAGUACCGGAGUAACUGCCGGUACCUUGACGGUACCUGACCAGAAAGCCACGGCUAACUACGUG